GAUGAACGCUGGCGGCAUGCUUAAUACAUGCAAGUCGAACGAAGAGCCUUUGUAGCAAUACAGGGGUUUCUUAGUGGCGAACGGGUGCGUAACGCGUUGGUGACCUGCCCCAAAGUGUGGGAUAACAGUUCGAAAGGAUUGCUAAUACCGCAUGUGGUCAUCGGGUUUAGAAGCCGAUGACUAAAGCAGUAAUGCGCUUUGGGAGGGACCUGCGUCCCAUCAGCUAGUUGGUGAGGUAAUGGCUCACCAAGGCUUCGACGGGUAGGGGACCUGAGAGGGUGGUCCCCCACACUGGCACUGAAACACGGGCCAGACACCUACGGGUGGCAGCAGUAGGGAAUAUUGGGCAAUGGGCGAAAGCCUGACCCAGCAACGCCGCGUGCACGAUGAAGGUCUUCGGAUCGUAAAGUGCUUUUCUGAGAGAUGAGAAAGGACAGUAUCUCAGGAAUAAGUCUCGGCUAACUACGUGCCAGCAGCCGCCGUAAAAC
rnacentral:rRNA from 1 species